rnacentral:rRNA from 1 species
AUUGAACGCUGGCGGCAUGCCUAACACAUGCAAGUCGAACGAGUGGCGGACGGGUGAGUAAUGUCUGGGAAACUGCCUGAUGGAGGGGGAUAACUACUGGAAACGGUAGCUAAUACCGCAUACCAUCUGAUUCGCCCAGAUGGGAUUAGCUCGUUGGUGGGGUAACGGCUCACCAAGGCGACGAUCCCUAGCUGGUCUGAGAGGAUGACCAGCCACACUGGGACUGAGACACGGUCCAGACUCCUACGGGAGGCAGCAGUGGGGAAUAUUGCACAAGGGGCGCAAGCCUGAGACAGCCAUGCCGCGGGUAUGAAGAAGGCCUUCGGGUUGUAAAGUACUUUCAGCGGGGAGGCGUUACCCGCAGAAGAAGCACCGGCUAACUCCGUGCCAGCCGCCGCGGUAAUAC